UCCCAGGGUUCUGAACUUCAAACUUUUGAUCAAGCUACAGAUGUUUGGUUGUUCUUCACCCCGGUGUACCAAGCUGGAAUGGUCAACUUACUGAAGUGAAGUCCUCAGGCUGUCCAGGGCCCAGUUCCACCAUGCAUUUUCCAUAUGCAAUCUACUUUAUGUUUCUGCUGAGGGGUUUAGCUUCUGCAAGCAAUCCUUCACAUCAUCUCUAAAGCACACUCAAGAGUAUAAAAUUAUUUGUUUUCUGGUUUCCUGAUCGUCUUUCAUGUAUGAUCUAACCUGUAGUUAUUGCCUUUUAGGAUACCCAAGGGCAACAAGUAAACUUUUCUCAAAACAAAUAAACAAUAAUGCAGCUUUAUUCAUAAUUGCCAAAACUUGGAAGCAACCAAGAUGUCCUUCAGCAGAUGAGUGGGUAUAUGAAUCGUACAGCUAGACAAUGGAAUAUUAUUCGGCACUAAAAAGAAAUGCGCUAUCAAGCCAUGAAAAGACACAGAGAAACAUUAAAUGCAUUAUUACUAAGUGACAGAAGCUGAUUCAAAAAGACUUCAUAUCUGCUUCCAACUAGAUAUGACAUUAUGGACAAGGCAGACUAUGGAGACAGUAAAAAGACCAGUGGCUGCAAGGGGUUCAGAGUCAGGGGAAGGGAUGAAUAGGCAGAACACAGGAUUUUUAGGGUAGGGAAAAUAUUCUUCAUGAGACUAUAAUGAUGGGUACAUGUCAUUAGACAUUUGUGCACAUCCAUAGAACAUGCAACACCAAGAGUCCCCUGGUUAAAUCUCCAAACUCCUGUGGAGCCUCUUUCCUCCUCACUCCUGAUAUCCUGCCACAGGGUCUCUCCUGGAAUGUGAGAAACCUUCCCAACUCAGGACCUUUGUCCAAUACCUUUCAUCUGGCGUAUUCUCAUCUAUCCUCUAGGUUCCACUUCGAUGUAUCUUCCUUGGCCUGGCCUUCCUUGACCUCAGCCCAGAUCAGAAUCACCUGUAUUCUGUCUUCUUGUACUAUGCUCCUCACAGGGACACUCUAACACCAUUUAUGUAUUAGUUUACUGUUCCAGUUGGGUUAGCUGGCAAAUUUCAGGAGCGUCUGGAAAGCAUUUGUCUUUUCACUGACAUACUUCCAGCACCUAGCCCAGGGUCCAACUGGAUGGAGUAGGUGCUCAGGUGUCAUAGGUUAAAUGAGUGAAUAAAUGGCCUCUGUGGGAUUGAUGCUAUUAGUUCAGAGUAGUUUAGUGAUUCACCUGCUACCACACAGCUAGCAAAUGGACAUAAAUGGAUGAGACCUUAGAAUUGACAGCUCCUAGGUGAAUACACGAUCUAGGGAAGUAUUUGUUAGGGGGAUGGAAGACUGCGAUCCCGGCAGGCUGCAUGUCCCGCCCCUCCCCAACAAAUUCACCUUCACCUCCCUCAGUCUGCACGUCUCUUCUCAGACUCCACAUGCCCCCACCGCAGCCCCCGAAAGCUCCACUUCACCGCACAUCACCCCCAUAGGCUUCACGUCACUUCGCAGUCUCACUUCACCCUCCGGAUGGCGAGAAGCAAGUGUGGAAGGCGCGCGUGAGCAGAAUUCUUUGCGAAGCCUGGAGGAGCUGCAGAAGGAGGCGUAGAACCGCUUCCCAGCAGAGGGCGCCAGAGAGCCACGGCGCCGCCGGCCGGGACGCGCGCAGGCACAGGGGCCGCCUUCGCGCCCGGCUUGCUUCCCGGCAGGGAGCAACUGGCUAAACUGCAAAUUGGAGCUCGGGGCCCCUAAACGCACGCCACCUACCUGCCCCUCCAGGCAACACUCCACCUACAUCAUGGCCCCGCCUCGGCCGCGUAUGCUCUGCGGCGGGCCCCAAGCACCGCAACUGGAGGGCAGCAAGAAAGCCCAUAGUAGACAUCUAACCCCAAGCACCGGCUAUUUGAAGUUGCAGCAGACGCGGUGACCCAGGGCCCAGGUUCUGGGAAGAAGAUCCGAUUCCUCCACGGACCCCAGCUCUAUCCCCAACAAGGGUAUUCCUGUGGAUCCCAGCGCAGAAUCUCAUCUACAUCAUACACGACGUGGAGCUUCUCCUCGGGUGCAGCGUCCAGGAUCCUGGCGUCACUAAAUGGAGUCGACGAAGACCGGUCCAGGUCAAUGCUUGGACCGGGACAGGUGCUUUGGCGAACAUAGAAGACAAACGUCCAUUCCUUGGGGUGGGGGUGACUUACUUGCAGGUCAUGGAAUCAAAAGGUGACUACUCAAGAUGACAGAAAACCAUAAGUUGCAUCAC